GCUGAGGCUUGGCACAUGGGGAAGAGCCAAGUCACAGCAGCUCUGAGGACACUCCAGGUGUGUCCCCUCCCUCCUGGUCUUUCAGAGAGCCCAGCAGGUGCAUCUCUGCCUGUCCAAGUCAAUCCAGGUCCUAGUAACUGGAUGGGGAGGGUCCUGCCCCGCUCUCAUUUUCAUCCAUUUUUCUAUAUUAGGGAUGAGAUGGUCUAUUUUUAGUGUGUGGCUGGUGUAAGUCAGGGGUUGCUAUAGCAACAGUGAGUGGCUACAAACCCAGUGCUGCUUGGGUUCCCAGUCACAGAGAAAUCCCAACACGGAGUCCUGACAGGAAUGCAGCCUCGGAGGAUGGAGCGACCCUGUCCAUGCAGGUUCCUGACUGCUGUCUUCAUGGAGUGCCUUGGGCAGGCUGAGCCUGAGUCUUGCUAGUAGAAAGUGAAUACGGGCUCGGGACUGAGAGAAAAGCUGGAAAGCUGAUUGGGAACGGAUGCCAAAGCUCACUCACAGGCCUCUCUCAUGGUACCAACCAACAGGAAGAGCACAUCACUCCAGCCCAUGGGAGCGGCAACUCUGAAUUCCACAAGGACUGUUUCUGGCUUGACUCCCAGCAAACUGAAGGUUCCUGGGAAGAAGUGUAGAUGAAUGUUCUCUAAAGAGCCUGCCUUUGUGUUAAGACCUUCUAGAUGGUCUGCUUUACUGAGUAUGGGUGUCACAGCCUUAUGGAGAGAUGGAAUGUGGAUCAAGAGACUAAGGGUCGCUCCAUGUGGUGGCAAACACCUAUGCUCUGAGCCCAUCUGAGACAUGAGUGAAUUGGAUAAUGAGGCCUAUCAAAAAGCAAACAGUGAAAGGGCCAAGGCUCUACUGGGUGGCCUUUGGCCCCUAAUGGCGCCCAUGUAUCAUUAGCCUUUGCCUCUGGCCUGGGCUUUUUGUGACUGCUGGAUAAGAAAGACCCUCAUGUAUGCUGAGCUGUUGGGCCUCUCACCCCUUCCAACCUAGAGGCUAGGAAUGAGUGGGCACCUGCUUCCGGUAGAAAGUGUCUCUACCCUGCUGAAGACUACAUCAAAAUUUUGGAGGAGCACCCCCCUCUCUGUAGCACACCUACAGCCCACCCACAGAACAGGACAGUCCUGCCACCUUUCUUUUGGGACUGUCUUUGGGGAACCCAUGUCAUGAGUAACCUGAGUCUAUGUUCCAAACCAUGAUGUCUGAUGUUUGUGCUCACAGCAAACUAUUUUCUUAUUUCAUAAUUGUUAUUUUUCUUUUUCACCUUGACAGAAAAUACUAGAUGUUACAUGAAUUAUUUCCAGGAAAGCUCUGAGAAGGCUGAUUUACGUUAA